CCUACGGGCGGCAGCAGUGGGGGAUAUUGCACAAUGGGGGGAACCCUGAUGCAGCGACGCCGCGUGGGUGAAGAAGCGCCUCGGCGCGUAAAGCCCUGUCAGCAGGGAAGAAAAUGACGGUACCUGAAGAAGAAGCCCCGGCUAACUACGUGCCAGCAGCCGCGGGAAUACGUAGGGGGCAAGCGUUAUCCGGAUUUACUGGGUGUAAAGGGGGCGCAGACGGCGAUGCAAGCCAGGAGUGAAAGCCCGGGGCCCAACCCCGGGACUGCUCUUGGAACUGCGUGGCUGGAGUGCAGGAGGGGCAGGCGGAAUUCCGGGUGUAGCGGUGAAAUGCGUAGAUAUCAGGAGGAACACCGGUGGCGAAGGCGGCCUGCUGGACUGCAACUGACGUUGAGGCCCGAAAGCGUGGGGAGCAAACAGGAUUAGAUACCCGGGUAGUC
rnacentral:rRNA from 1 species